UUAAAAUACAUUGAGAGGAAGUUGCGGCUAACUUCACGCUUCACGCGGCUUGACGCUUCCGUUUCCAUUAUUCAACAUGGCGCUCCUGAACAAGUCUGCCUGCAUGAGUAAAGUUUCUUUUAAUCGGCAUAAUAAUUGUACUUUGUUGUGUUUGUUGACCUGAAUUGUUACAAUGAGAGCUAAAGAAGCACUUGCUCGUCAUUUACGGUUUAAUAGCGAUAGUUUGGACGUUGCCGGUGUUCUUUGUUUCCCAGAAUUCCUAAGCCAGACCUGAAGUAAUACAAGGACGACUAAAUGUCGCGUUAUUUACGAUGUAAUGGCAAUGGGUAAGUUACAGUAAUAUCCGUUGUGCCUCAAAAUAUUUUGUUAUAGUUUAAUUCCUGACUAGAUUCCUUCUGUUCUGUAAAUAUGCUGACCAACAUGUUUGAGUUCCUCCGAA
rnacentral:lncRNA from 1 species